GUCGAGAAUAUUUCGCAAUGGGCGAAAGCCUGACGAAGCGACGCCGCGUGAACGAUGAAGGCCUUCGGGUUGUAAAGUUCUGUCGCCUUAGAACAAGAAGCGCUGGAUAACACCCAGCGACGAUGAGGGUAUAAGGAGAGGAAGCACCGGCUAAUUCCGUGCCAACAGCUGCGGUAAUACGGAAGGUGCAAGCGUUAGUCGGAAUUAUUGGGCGUAAAGCGCGCGCAGGCGGAUCUGCCAGUCUGUCUUAAAAGUUCGGGGCUUAACCCCGUGAUGGGAUGGAAACUACAGAUCUAGAGUAUCGGAGAGGAAAGUGGAAUUCCUAGUGUAGCGGUGAAAUGCGUAGAUAUAUGGAGGAACACCAGUGGCGAAAGCGGCUCUCUGGUCUGUAACUGACGCUGAGGUUCGAAAGCGUGGGUAGCAAACAGGAUUAGAAACCCGAGUAGUCC
rnacentral:rRNA from 1 species